rnacentral:rRNA from 1 species
UACGUAGGGGGGCGAGCGUUGUCCGGAAUUAUUGGGCGUAAAGAGCGCGUAGGCGGCCCCUGUAAGUCCGCUGUGAAAAGUCAAGGGCUCAACCCUUGGAUGCCGGUGGAUACUGCAGGGCUAGAGUUCGGAAGAGGAAAGUGGAAUUCCCGGUGUAGCGGUGAAAUGCGCAGAUAUCGGGAAGAACACCCGUGGCGAAGGCGGCUUUCUGGGACGGUACUGACGCUGAGACGCGAAAGCGUGGGGAG